rnacentral:rRNA from 1 species
GACGAACCGUGCGAACGUUAUUCGGAAUCACUGGGCUUAAAGGGCGCGUAGGCGGGCCAGUCAAGUCAGAGGUGAAAGCCCCCGGCUCAACCCGGGAAGAUGCCUUUGAUACUGAUGGCCUCGAGGGGUAUAGGGGCGUGCGGAACAUCCGGUGGAAUGCGGUGAAUACGUAGAUAUCGGAAGGAACACCGGUGGCGAAAGCGGCGCGACU